rnacentral:misc_RNA from 1 species
AAAAAACCUUCCCCCUUCUUCAGCGACAAUGACCGACUCUGACGCCGGUACCGCUAGCACUGAGCCUACGCCGGAACAGGACUUGGCCCCCGUGGAAUCGAAGCCACAUCAACAAGAACCCGAGAAGCUUGGCAGCAGCGGUAUUUCGCUGAGUAUUUGGCCACCGACUCAACGCACACGAGAUGCCGUCAUCUCCCGUCUAAUAGAGACCUUAUCUACUCCUUCUGCUCUCUCCAAGCGCUACGGUUCGAUCCCUCACGAUGAGGCUGAGACCGCUGCCCGCCGAAUUGAAGACGAGGCCUUCGUCGUGGCUAGCAAGGCUACUUCAGCCGAGGAGGACGGCCUUGAGAUCCUUCAGCUCUAUUCCAAGGAGAUCAGCAGGCGCAUGCUAGAAACUGUCAAGGCUCGGCCCAGGUCGGACUCUGCUGUGGAUAAUGGUGUUUCGGGGACGCUGAAUGCUGAAGUCGCAUCGACGGAGGCGGCCAGUGAGGAAAUUUCUGAUUCUGUUGGGACUGAGGCCUGAUCUUAUUAGGGUUUUUAACUUCAUAUUGUUACCAAUAUGCACGCUUGGAAUGAUGGAACAUAACUCUGAAGUCUGAACCUCCUUGUGGGGUGUUAGGUUUCUCCUACCCUGUGGAAAUUAUAGGUAGAACUGUAGAAGUUAUAUAGAGCAGUGAUACAAUUUAGAAUGUGAUGCCAAUCAGUCAUUCCAUCUCCUUGGCUGCUCAUAUUUAGUCCGAUUCAUGUAGUUUCCAUCACUCCUUUGUAAGCACUAGUAAUUUGAAAUUUGUUUCAACACAGACUAAGCAUUAAUUUAUAUCAUUUUAAGUGAAGGGAAAUUGUGCAUAUCUUGUCACAUUAUCACUUUUACAUUUUUGGUCAGUUCAAUUUAUUAAUACCACUGUGCAAAUUCCUUUCCACUUAUUGAUAACCAUUUUGCCCAACCUUUAUAGUUAAGUGUAUAAUCG